GAAUUGGGAUUGUGUCACAGAGCAUUAUGGGUAUUCUAUGUGUUGAGACAUUUGGUGACAUUGUUGGAUUAAAAGUGAAGAAUGAUAGUUUAGCAUUUUGGGGAUAUUAUUCCAUUCAAAUUAGUUUUUCAGAUUAAUUGUUUUCUUGGUUUUAGAACUCUAUUUUUGUGCCCAGUUAGUGCAAUUUAUUUAAAUUUGCCUUGCUAACUUCAGUAGCUAGCUAGCUACCAGCGCGAAUGUGUAGUUUUCUCUGCCAGUAUGGUUGAAUGGCCAAUGCUGCCAUGUUAUGGACUUUUUGUUGAAGAACCCCUUUCAUUUUCUGGGGUACAUGGAAAAGUUGCAAAUUAAAUGCAGGGGUCGACCUCUGCCUGAGCUCAGCUUCAUGAAGGAUGAAAAGUUGAGGGCGUUCAAUACCAACUGGUAUCAAAAGUAUAUCUGGUUAACAGGGAACUUUAAUCGAAGCCGCAUUUAUUGCUGACCUUACCUGCUUUUUGGAAAGUCUGAGCCUUGGUCGAAAGGUGGGUACAGUGACCUGAAGAACAUUGAUCGUUCAGCUAAAUGGCAAAACAGAAGCAGGGAGCAUAUAAAUGCCCACAUCAAAUUCAAGCUUCUGGGAAAAAGCUGCAACGAUUAUGACAAAGGUCUGCGUAUUCAAACUGCGCAACACAACGAGAAAGUAAGAAGAAACAGGGAUGUUAUAAGCUGCUUAUCAACACAACUGCUUUUUUGGGCAUGCAAUAAUUUACUUUUAGAGGAUACGACGAGAGGUAAAGUUCCACCAACAAGGGCAACUACUACAAGGAGCUUGCAGAGCCAAGUCCCCUCCUGUUCCCUGAUUUAAGAGGUGAUGACUACUCCACUUCACUACCAUUGUCAACUUUCUCCUGACAUUAACUGAAGCCCCUUCUCAUGUGCCCGCUCUUACACUGGCAUGCACAUUGAAUACUUCCCCUCCAGGCACUUAGCUACUAUCUUGUCUCAUCGCUACAACUCCCGUACGGGCUCGGGAGAGACGAAGGUUGAAAGUCAUGCGUCCUCCGAUACACAACCCAACCAGCCGUACUGCUUCUUAACACAGCGCGCAUCCAACCCGGAAUGUGUCGGAGAGUACACCAUGCACCUGGCAACCUUGGUUAGCGCGCACUGCGCCCGGCCCGCCACAGGAGUCGCUGGUGCGCGAUGAGACAAGGACAUCCCUACCGACCAAGCCCUCCCUAACCCGGACGACGCUAGGCCAAUUGUGCGUCGCCCCACGGACCUCCCGGUCGCGGCCGGUUACGACAGAGCCUGGGCGCGAACCCAGGGACUCUGAUGGCACCCUUAACCACUGCGCCACCUGGGAGGCCAAUGAUUUUACUCCUUGCUUGGACUAACUCAUUCUUAGCUCUUUUGUCUAACUGUGUAAUGUGUUGUGUUAUUGUUUGUUGUCUUCCCAGUCAAAUCCUGUCCUGCACUGGUCAAGCCUCAUACCUCAACUCAACUCAUGCCUCAUACCUUCAUUCAAUCACUGCUGUAAUCCCUUUCCAACAUGGUGUAAGUAGCCCCCUCAUUCCCCAUAAUAUUGUACCAUAAAUGACUUUAUUAAAUGCUUUAGGUUAAAAGAAUUCGUCUUUGACAAUUUUUUUAAACACACUUUGUUGUCUCCGUGCAUUCUGCGCCUAUACCGUGGGUCUCCCAUCAUCCUCAGUUAUUCAAGUCACCAGCCUCCACUGCUAUGAACAGAGGUCCUCAUAGAAAGUGGCACCAAACCACCUAUGUUGACAGCCAGGUCUCGCGUAACACUGUAAAUGUAAAUUCAGAUAUUUACAGUUGAAGUUUACAUACACCUUCGGAAGUUUACAUACACAUUAGCCAAAUACAUUUAA